UACGGAGGAUCCAAGCGUUAUCCGGAUUUAUUGGGUUUAAAGGGUGCGUAGGCGGUCCGUUAAGUCCGGGGUGAAAGCCCACUGCUCAACAGUGGAACUGCCCUGGAAACUGGCGGACUUGAGUACAGACGAGGGUGGCGGAAUGGAUGGUGUAGCGGUGAAAUGCAUAGAUACCAUCCAGAACCCCGAUUGCGAAGGCAGCUGCCUAGACUGUAACUGACGCUGAGGCACGAAAGCGUGGGGAGCGAACAGG
rnacentral:rRNA from 1 species